rnacentral:RNase_P_RNA from 1 species
GAAGCCCGCCAGGCCGCCGCUGGUGCAAGUGCCGAGAGGCCGCACUGGAGGAACGUCCGGACUGCACAGGGCAGCGUAGCAGGUAACACCUGUCCACCGUGAGGUGAGGAUCAGAGCAACAGAGACGAGUCCUCGCGCGCUUCGGUGCGCGAGGGGUGAAACGGGCAAUCUCUACGCGCAGCAAUACCAAAUAGGCCAGCGGUGAUCUGUGUCCCGGGGAGCUGGCGGGUAGGUAGCACCGAGCCGUGUCGGCGACGCACGGCCCAGAGGAAUGGCGGUCACGUCACGGGUAACCGUGACGCACAGAAUCCGGCGUAUCGGCGGGCUUCACAC